AAAACGGCCCUUUUGAGGGCCACCGUAAUUAAAAAAGUUAUCUUUA
rfam:Macrostomum lignano uti_cns_0004174, whole genome shotgun sequence.